ACGGCAGUAUGGCAGUAUGGCAGUAUGGCAGUAUGGAUGUAUGGCAGUAUGGAUGUAUGGCAGUAUGGCAGUAUGGCAGUAUGGAUGUAUGGCAGUAUGGCAGCAUGGCAGUAUGGCGGCGGCCCCGCCCGGGGCGAUCUGUCCGGGGCUCUCCGGCCCCGCUACGCCCCGUGUGACUGACGGCUGCAGACGCCGCGAUCCCCGCAGCUCGCCGUUGUGCUGCCGCAGCUCGCGGCUCCUCGUGCACAGCCCCGCGCGGCACCACGAGACCCCGCGGCCCAUCGGGGGGGAAGGGGCCUCUGCAGCGCUUCUCGGCGGCCCCUCCGUGAUGGAGAGCAGUAAUAACGGCUCUGCGGUGCACAGCGGCAAUAACGGCUCUGCGGUGCACAGCGGCGGGGCCGCCUCCAUGACGGCACAGCGGCGUGGCCGUGGGGCUCUGCUCACCGCGGUGUGUGCGGCUGGAGGGGGCGGCUGCCUCCCGUCCGCCUGAUACAUUGAUAGAGGUGUUGCCAGAGGGGUUUGUUCUGUUCCUCUCCUUGAGAUUGAUGUCUAUAGACUCUGAAUUUUUUGGCAAGGCUGCAAGUAGAAGGGAAUCAGAAGGGAACCUGAAUUGAAUAAAAUCGCUGCUCUCACCCAGUGGUUAAAAACAAGCACCAAAAAGACACUGAAUCGGGCAGCAGCGAGGAGCAGCCCAUGGCGAACACACGGCAUCGUGUGCGCGGGGACUGAGGAGCAGCCUCUGCUGAUGUUCAAGGUGACCCCGGCCCAGGCAGCGCCGUGUAGGAUAGCGCAGCAAUGACAGCGUUUGGGCGUGUGGGGGCUGCUCUCAGCGCCCUCCCCCUUCCGCUCCCUCGGACACACCCAGCGCAGCAGCGCAGCCUCGUUCGGGGCACGGACCGAGCUGCUGCUGCGGCUCCGAACGACCCGACCCGGCCGCACGUGGGAUCCGGCACCGAGCUGUGUGUGUGUGUCAGCACGGCGGCGCUGCCCCGCGCCUGCGAGGCUGCGGUCCCCAAAGCACGCGGUGCCACGAGCCCCAUCCGUGAGCCCGUUACUGCUCCCGGCAGCCGACGUGCCGCCUUUCUGCGGGCUGCGCUGCGCAGGGACACAUCGCUCCCCCUGCAGCGGCGCCGCCGACACAAACCGCAUCCGCCGCUAUUCCCGCUCCUAACGGAACGGCACCGAGUGGAACGUGCGUGUCACCGGGAAGGCUCCGGGCAAACGCCCGCUAGAAGCGGCGGCAUCUCGUGAGCCGCGGCCCCGCCCGCGAAGGGCGCAGUCAGUGUUCGCCGGACGGAGCCCGUCGGCCCCGAGGCCUCGGAUCGGGCCCGGCGCUCUAAGGGCGCGGUUCCGGUUCGGCGCGGCGCGCGGUCCCCCCUCGAGUCCCCCCGCGCUGCUCCGCCAGCACCGCCGGCACCGAAUGGCCACGGCGCGCCCGGCACGGGCAGGGAGUGCGCCAGCCGCGAGCACGGGAGGGCGGCGGGACGGGUCGGGACGAGCCGCCUCCGGGUCCGCGCCGAACCCGACUGGGCCGCGGCCGGACCGAUGGAGGGUCCCGCGAGCCCCGGGCGGCGCUGCGCAUGCCCGGCGCGGCUCCGUGAAGUCGCAGGCCGCGGUACAGCUGGAUGGAACCGACCGGCCCAGCAUCACCUCGAUGACAGUUACAUUGAUUUCUGCGAUUCUUCCACUCCCACAAUAUUGUGAAGGGAGACUCGUGUAAAAUGCACUCACACAACAAAUGGACGCAGGUUACAGCGCGUGUCUUCUCUCCAGAGAAAAACCAUACCAUUUUACUUGAAAUUCAUUUUUUCCCCUAUUUCCCCCCGUGUAUUUUCUUUCAGAAGUGUAGAAAACCAA